AAUCUUAUAUCAAAUCAAUUCAUUUCCCCCGCCCCACUAAAUUAUUAAAAGACAAAGAUACCCGUUAAUUUAAAACACAUCAUCUCCAUUGUUGUUUCUGUCAUCUACUUUCAGAUAUAAAAAAAAAAUAAUUUACACAAUUAACACAAAUUUAAAAAAAUCUACACAAUUAUCAAACUUAGUUACAGAAAUAGCAUAAAAAAUUACACAAUUAACAUAUAUUCUAAAUAAAGUACACCAUUAACAAAUGCAAAAUAAAUUAAGUUUAGUAAAACUAAAUCUUGCCACUUCCAGAAUACUCAAGUCUCAACAUCUCCAUCAUCAUCUUCAACAAUCUCACCAUCAUCACAAAACAUUCAGCCAUCCACUAUUAAUAUCAUUGAGGAACAUUAUCAUCUCCCAUCAAGCUCGAUCCUUCUCUUCCUCUGUGUAUAUGUAGAACCCUAACUUUUUUGGGAUUGAUUCUCUUUAAAAACAAUUGUGAUUCCACAAUUGAAGUAGAAUCAAUUGAAUUUCUAAUAGAAAUUUAACAUAUUUGGUUAAGGUGGUUGAGUAUUAUGGUGGACGACAAUGGUGAUUGGGGUUUUUUGACUUCCUCUUUUUCUCUCUUUCUUUUUUUUUUAAUUUUUUUAGUUAUUAAGUCUGGAUCUGAAAAAGGAUUGUAAAUCAAAAGGUUGUGGGCAUGUCAAAAGUACUAUGUUCAUACGAGUUAAUGGUCAUGGUUCACAGUGAUGGUGAAAAGAGGUUCAAUGGCAGUGGGGUUAUGGCGGUGGUGGUAAGAUUUCGUUCUGGCAUUUAUGUUUUUGCUUGAUUUGCUUAUGAUCUAUGUUAAUUUGAAAUUAUUUUUGUUUCGACCUGAUUUAACCGUGUUUUAUGAAUUUUGUCGUGCCGAAUUUGACUUUUUGGGAUCGAUUUAUGCUUGUUCAUUCUUUGGUCUUCCCCUCUUCGGUGUGAAAUUAUUACUCAGAAAAACUAAUAAAAUUAAUUAAACAAAUUCAAAAAAUGGAGAUGAUGGUGUUUUAAAUUAAUGGGUAUCUUUUUCUUUUAAUAAUUUGGUGGGGCUGGAGAAAUGAAUUGAUUUGGUAUAAGAUUUAAUCUUUGAGAUAAUUUAGCAGUUAGGCUUAUGGUGUUCGGAUGGUCGAGAUUUCAAAGUUGAAAUUUUGAGUUUGAAUCUUGGGCUUCACUUGUUUUUUAACAAUUAAUUGAAAAACGUUGAGGACAACAGCGGUGCCACGUCAGCAAGUCAAUGUACUCAAAUAGAAAGGGUCUCAAUAUCCAAAAAUAUUUAAAGUUUAGGGGCAACAUUUGCAUUUUACCUCUCUUACAUGUUUACAUGUAAGGGUGUAAACGAAUCGAGUCGAUCCGAGUAUUGAGUUGCUCAGAUUUGGUUCACAAAAUUUAUCGAGUAUAAAAUAAGGUUUGAUUGAGGCUCAUUUAGCUACCGAAUCGAGCUCGAGCAGUUUGGACUUUCUAACGAAUAUGAUCCGAGUAUUAAUAGAAAAUUAUAAUUUGAGGAGGUUCGAGUAAUUUAUCGAACUUUAAAAUGUGCUCAUAUUUGACUCAUUUAUAUUUCGAGUCGAGCUCGAAUCGAACUUUUAGUUGAGCGACAUGUAAAAAACGUUACAGUUAAGUUUUAUAUUUUUCUAAAAAAAUAAAUGCAAAACUAACUCAACACGAUUGUAAAUUUAUCCUUAAAUAAUUGUAUUUUGCAACACAUUUGAACAUUUGGAUUAACUAAAGUGUCAAAAAACAAAAUCUGAACAAUUGUGUGAGUUCGUCAUGCCCACAUUAGGACUGAGCAAAAAACGGAUAAAACCGAAUUACCGAACCGAACCGAAUCGAACUGAAAUUUUUUAACCAAAUUUUUUUGGUUAUUCGGGUAUUUUUUGUAAUUCGGUUAUAUCCGAUUUUAUUUCCGAUUUUCGGGUUCGGGUUUGAUUUCCAAUUUUUUGUAAUUCGGUUACUCGAAUAACCGAAUUAAAAAAAAAUAAAAUGGAAGACUUAAAAAUAAAAACAAACCGUGUCUCUCAGACUUCUCUUAGUCUUAGUAUCCAACCCUCUCUCAUAUCUCAGACUUCUCAAUAUCCAACUAUCUCGCUAAAACCCAAAUCAAUUUUGUAAGACCCCGAAUUUUUUUUUUAAAUAAAAAGAAAUUUCCUUUAUUUAUUAUUUUGAAAUAGUAAGGGUGGAUUUGAUUAAUGUGGUUAGUUAUGGGUAAAAUGCGCAAAUAUUUUAAAUAAGCAAGUGGUGAUAUAAUAUUCAUUAUUGUCGGAGAAUAUUCGUUUGGUCGUGGAAUAUUCGUACUGUCGGGGAAUAUUCGUACGACGGCGCAGCCAUGUGUGGGCCCCAUAACGGAAAGCGAUUGGAGGAAGAAAACGACAAAUAUAAGUUGUUUAAAAAUAACGGCGUAGUUGUUACCGUUUACACUGUUGGAAUACCCGGUGGUUAAAACACAGUAAUACGCGUUGUUGCACAGUAGCACACGGUAUUGCACCAAUUAUUGAUUCUUACGUAAGAAGGCACUACUCAAUAAUGGUUACAGUAAUUACUGUUCAGUAUUUUAUUUUAUUGAUUCAAUAAUUGCUGCGUUGAUAUUUUAUAUUGCUGUUGUUUCAAUAAUUGUCAUUACACAGUAUUUUUCAUUAUCGAAGCAAUAAUUCAUAUUAUCUGAAUAAUAUUAUUAGAUAACAUUAUUGGCAAUGUCUAGAAAGUUCUGUCUAAGGAGAGGUUUGGUCACCUAAUUGCGCGCCAGUAAGGAGAAAUUCUUAUUGGAAAGCCCCCUCUUUCCUGGGAACUGCCUGGUUGUCAAUAUUGUGAUUCUGUAAUAUUAUUUGUGAAUAAUUAAUUAUUGAUUCAUAUGAUGAGGAAAAUAUUGAUUUUAUGUGGAUAUAGAUGGAGAAAAUUUUUAAUGUGACAAUUGUUGAAAAUUGAAAUUUUAUCUUUUUCUGAUAAAAUAAUUCAUAUAUAUAUAUAUAUUAUUAUAUUUUAAUAAUAUAAUAAUGGUGAUAUUUUUACAACGAAUGUGGGAUAUAUGAGUAUACGAGGAGGAAGAGUAUUUUUGUUGCAAUAAAUGUUUAAAACAUGUUAAACAUGUCGGUGGACCCCAUUUCUUGACUGAAAUUUGAUUAUAGCCUGUAAAAUCGCCCGUUUGUGGAUUUCGGUCAAUUUCUGUUUGGAAUUUGGAAAAACUUUCUUCUGCAAAGUUGUAGAGAAUUGAAUUUCCUAUAAAAACUCGCGAGAUUCGAAUUUUCUGAUAAAAGGGCUAUUUAUUAUGAAUUAUUGAAGUUUUGAAGUUCCAGAAUAAUUGAUUUUUGAAGUUUUAAUUAUUUUUUUUAAUAAAAAUGUUUUUGUUAAGGUUGGUGGGCCCCACUUAUUGUUAAACAUGCUGAAAUUAGAUGAUUCAAGGUGGGUGUAGAAAAUUUUAUAUAUAUAUAUUAAUAUUUUAUUAAAUUUUCUGCUUUGGUGUUCUAAGCAUUUUCCUAUAAAUAGGGUGCUUAGGUUAGAAUUGAAAAUCACACCAGAAACUGAAGUUUUCUCUCUCUAUAUUAUCGAGCGUAUUCUUGUGAGUAUUUUGAGUAUACUUUGAGUAUUGCUAUACGGUGAAAGUUCAAGAUAUAGUCUAUAUCCAGUAUUCCAGUUAGAAGUACUGAUCUUUCGAGGUAAGGGAUAUUUUUUUUUUUCGUAAUGAUAUUAUUUCUUCAAUAUCAUUAUGCUGAAAUAUUGAUCUGAAGUUUUUAUCAAAUUUGGAACUUUUGGUGUCGGAGUUACUAUUCACGUAUACGGCACUAUUCACGUAUACGGUACUAUUCACGAAUACGGCACUAUUCAUCGAAAAAUGAAAAUUUUUCUUUUCGUCCAAAAUAUCUAUUGUGGAUACUAGCUUUGAUUGUAUCCAUGUUUUGAUCAUUCUUGAAUUUUACACCACUAUGAUUAUUUUUGAGGUAUUUUUGGACGUGGAUAAAACAAAGUACGAAUCCUUAAUCCUUAAUCCUUGUCAUUUUGUUUCACUGGAUUCGUUUUUUUAAAAAAUAUUUUUCAUCAUCCUCAGUCUUAAAUGAUGAUAUUAUUGAAUAUCUUUGGCCUGUAGUGCAAAGAUGAAUGAUUUAUGAUGAAUAUCUUUGGCCUGUAGUGCAAAGAUGAAUGAUUUCUGAUGAAUAUCUUUGGCCUGUAGUGCAAAGAUGAAUGAUUUCUGAUGAAUAUCUUUGGCCCGUAGUGCAAAGAUGAACAGGUGUUUAGAUGAACAUGACCAACUGGUGAAUGUCCUUGGCCUGUAGUGCAAGGAUGAAUAUUUGAUCCCAGAUAUAUAUUGAUUGAUGUUACAGGGAUAAAAAUAGACGAUGAACUUUAAAAUUCAUACAUAGAAGAUAGUAGUUUGCAUUCUCUACUUAACUCUUCUAAUGAAUUAUUAUUUCCGCUGCGAAUAUUGAUUUAAAACUUGUUGUCUAUUGUAUUCUAUUAUAUUUUUCCCUGUUGAAGACUAACGAUAAUUUUGUUGUAUAUUAUCUUAGUCAUAAUAUUCUUUACUGGGCUAGUCGAGCUCACCCUUUUCCUUUUUGUUCCAUUUUUCUUCUCAGGAGGCGAGAAUAUAGCGAGUACGAGUCGGGGUAUGGAAUGAAAGUUCUAG
rnacentral:lncRNA from 1 species